rnacentral:rRNA from 1 species
AGUAGCCGCGGUAAUUCCAUCUCCAAUAGCGUAUAUUAAAGUUGCUGCAGUUAAAAAGCUCGUAGUUGAAUUUCGGGAUCAAUAUGUUGGUCGUGCCUCGGUACGUACUAGCUUAUUGGUUUCUCCCUUCUGACGAACCAUGAUGUCAUUUAUUUGGUGUUAUGGGGAAUCAGGACUGUUACUUUGAAAAAAUUAGAGUGUUUAAAGCAGGCUUACGCUUGAAUACAUUAGCAUGGAAUAAUGAAAUAGGACGUUUGAUUCUAUUUUGUUGGUUUCUGGGAUCGACGUAAUGAUUAAUAGGGAUAGUUGGGGGCCAUAGUAUUCAAUUGUCAGAGGUGAAAUUCUUGGAUUUAUUGAAGACUAACUACUGCGAAAGCAUUUGCCAAGGAUGUUUUCAUUAAUCAAGAACGAAAGUUAGGGUUCGAAGACGAUCAGAUACCGUCGUAGUCUUAACCAUAAACUAUGCCGACUAGGGAUCGGAUGAUGU